GCAAGAUGCGGGCGACUUGACUUCAGACACCGAGAAAGGCUGGCGGCCCAGGUCUUGUGGCCACAUCUGUCCAAGCUCCUACUCUGAUUGAACAGUUGGAUGAUCAGACUGAUGAUGAAAAGUGCUACACAGUUCUCACAUAUCUUCUGCCUCCGAAGCAGCUGCAGUGUAAAAUCUGAGAUGUCUUUUCUGGCUGAUUUUGUGCAGAUUUCUGACAGCGAUGGUGAGGGAAGCAGUGUACCGAAUUCUCAGAUGACUCGGACCAGGUGACCAAACCCAUGCAAAACACAAUGACUGUGCUGAGGCGUUCCGCCCCCCUCCCCCUCCACACCACUCAAGGCACGGCGGCGGCCCAACCGCAAACUAACGGAGAUUAACAAGAGGCUGGAUGCUGCGUCCAUCACCAGAGGGGCCGGGAUUGCUGCGGCAGCUAGCCAAUUAAAGGAGGAUGAAGGAGAGGAGGAUGAAGGAGAGGAGUCUGACGAUGCAGACAUCGCCAUCGUAUGCAGGCCACGCCCUCGCAGGAAAACCAGCCAAUGAAAACGCUCGCAGCAGCAUCAGCAGAACACACCGGCACGACUGACAGAGCUUCUGAAGCAUGCAGUGGAAGAGCUGUCAGUCAAGCUAAAGGUCCCGCCCUCCAACCUGCUGCUGCUGCACGGAGAGGCGGAACUUAACACCUCACACACUAUUGGCCAGCUAGGACUCUGCAUCGCUGCCAUCAUUGUCUGGAACCAACUUCACAUCCCUCUUCACUGCACUACUGACACUGAGAUGGAAUCCACAACCCAACCACUAGUGGUCUGCAUUGGGAACCUGAAGAGUCUGUCAUCAUCGCCAGGAAUGACCGCGUGACCAUUCCCGUUGCAGACAGCCUGACUUGCACAAUUGACAAGCUGUUCAAGCUUAACUGGGUCUGCAACUUGUCAUAUCCAACACAGCUCAGCUCUGUUUUCACCUUCUUUGAAUAUGUUUAUGACGUUCCCAUCUCAACCAACACACGACCAAAGGUACUAGAAUUUCUCUCAAAGCUUCCCAGCAACCCAGUGAUCUCUCAACAUGUGUUUAUGCCCAAAAUGUAAAUAGUUACUACAGACAUCAAGAAAGUAGUGUGGCAUCUUUGUCAAGUACACGCUUUGUCAGAUGCACAGGGUAUGACGAUAAUAGGCAGCCAAGAUGGCUGUUCAAGUGCACAAGGACUUACUACGUAGACACCACCAGUCCACAACAACAGAAAUGGGUGUAUCUUUCAAUGACUCUUUUGAAUCCACUGACAUUCAGACAGCCUAUGCAGCUUCAAGUAACAUCUGAAGAAAGAACAUUUUGUGUUCCUUCUCAAGGACAGAUUCUCCAUAAUUUACCACUUAAUGACAAUUUAUCUGUGUUCAUGCUUGUUAGGAUUAUUACAGGGAAUUAUUUUGAUUAUCAUUUUGGCAACACUUUAUUUUAGCAUUACAUCUAUUAGCUCUAAUACAUACAGUGUUAAUGCCUGUAUGCUGUAAGUAACUUGUAAGGCAUGCACUAAGCAAAAUCAAAUAUAUGUUAGGCAUGUAUUCGCAAAUUCCUUGUUCAUGCACAAUUAGGGAUUUAUUACCUAAUAUAACCUCAAUAAGGACCUAACAAAUGUUUGAUUUCGCUUAGUACAUGCCUUACAAGUUACUUAUACAGGCAUUAACCCAUUGAUGCUGGAUGUUGCAUUGGCCCUGGCCCACAUUUUCUCACUUGUAGGUAUUUGUUGCGCCGUGAAUUGCCGCGCCGCGAUAAAUUGCUACUCAAAAAAAAAAAUCAAGGUUGGCAGGUAUUAGUGCUAAGCGAUGUAAUGUUAAAAUUAAGUGUUACCAUCAUAUUUAAAAAAAUAUAUAUAUAUAUGUUGUAAAACUGGACGAUUGUGAAAUGAUAUGAUGUGGCAGAUGUAAGACCCAUUGAUGUAAUGCAGAGUUUUCAUUCAGAUGAACUGUCUCUUAACCCAAGGUACAAUGUCUUUUCUUUCAAUAUGUUGGAACCUUUUCAUAAGAAUGUUAUUUUCAAGAAUAUUUAACACUACUUCGAAUUUCAAGACUUUCUGGUUUUGUUAUACACCGGUAAUGUUGUUAAGAGAUGAUAGUGUACGAGUCAUAAUCAAUACUUCAUGAAAUUGGCAGUGGUGUUAAUUAUUCUUGAAAAAGAUAACAUUUGUUAUCUCCCCCUCUUCUGAAAAGCCUAAUAAAAAAGAAUAUGACAGUAAAGUUAAUGUAAUACUUUUUUUUUUAAUUGAGUGUAAUCACAACUACAAAAAAAAAACGUUGUAGAGGUCUUUUAACAGUGCAAGAAAACACACGCUAAAUAUAUUUAGUCAAGACUUUUGAAGAUUGAACCUUGUAAACAAAAGUGUUUGCUAGAUAAAAGUAAACCUCCCCUGUCACUUUCCAUGUGAUAAAUGUCAGUAUAUAUUUGAAAACUAGAAGUUUCAAAGUUUUUAAUGCUGUCACUUUUAUGUUUGAAUGACAACUCACAGAGUUACAGAUGUUUUUGUAGAAGUGUCAAAUGGGGUCACCGGUGACCCCGUAGACCUCAGAGUGUUAAUGAAAGACUGUGUAUGAGUCAUAAUGAAUUGGCCUACUUGCUGAAAUACUGAAUAAACAGAAUUUAUUGUAAAUCUA